AUACGUAGGGAGCGAGCGUUGUCCGGAAUUACUGGGUGUAAAGGGAGCGCAGGCGGGGAGACAAGUUGGAUGUCAAAUGGAUCGGCUUAACUGAUUAUCGCAUUCAAAACUGUUUUUCUUGAGUGAAGUAGAGGUUGGCGGAAUUUCUAGUGUAGCGGUGGAAUGCGUAGGUAUUAGGAGGAAAACCAGUGGGGAAGGCGGCCAACGGGGCUUUUACUGACGCUGAGGCUCCAAAGCGUGGGGAGCAAACAGAAUUAGAUCCCCUGGUAGUCCACGCCGUAAACGAUGAAUACUAGGUGUGGGGGGAGUGACCCCUUCCGUGCCGCAGUUAACACAAUAAGUAUUCCGCCUGGGGAGUACGGCCGCAAGGUUGAAACUCAAAUGAAUUGACGGGG
rnacentral:rRNA from 1 species